rnacentral:tRNA from 1 species
GUGCCCAUAGCUCAGUGGAUAGAGCGCAGCCCUGCGGAGGCUGAGGUCGGGGGUUCAAAUCCUCCUGGGCACG